rnacentral:lncRNA from 1 species
CUCCCAUUGUGGCCACGAGAUAGCUGCUGUGGCUGCAGACAGCACAUCCUCUCUGCUCCAACUCGGGAGCCUCUGCCCCGUGUCCCAUCGAAAAGUGUCAUGGGUUCUCAUUGGUUCUGACUGGGGCACAUACCCACCUGGGUCACUUCAUAUGGCCUGGGGAAUCCAGUGGACUGGCUUAGGACAGGGUCAUGUGCUCCCCUGGGGAGGGAGAUUGAGAGUGGAGCAGGGGUGACAUCCCCACAAGAAUCAGGAUGCAGUUUGCAGGAGAAGAGAAAAUCAGUGCUGGAAAGCCAAAAAAAAGCAACAAGGCAACAUUACUACUGUUCAUAACAACAGUUGUAAGUCACUCUCAGCCUCACACUUGCUGGGUCCUGUGUAUCCCCACCCCACUGGGCUUGAGACCUUCGAUAGCGAAGAGGAGUUCUGCUCUGCCAACAGAAAAACCGGAGGCAGCAGGGGAGGGAGGAGCUGGCUGUUCCUCCUCAACCCAAGUUGGCUGCUCCCUGCGCAGGGAGGUUGGCACCUGCGGGCCCGGGGUCUCCGCGGGGAAGCUGGCCCAGGCGCCUGCUCCGGGCAGCUGUGGCCGUAACUCUCCACCUCAGUCAGCUCGGCUGCUGUGACAGAAUCUCACAGACGGGCGGCUCAGACAUCAGCCGUUCACUCCUCACAGCCCCGGAGGCUGCGGGUCCAGGACCAAGGUGGCCGCCCGCUCCUUGCCAGGUGAGAACCCACUUCCUUGCUGCGUCCUCGCUGCAUGUGGGGAGAGAGCAGGCUCCCUGGUGUCUCUUCUUACCGGGACACUGAGUCCAUCCUGAAUGACGUCCUCGGAGGCCCAUCUCCACAGACAGCCACCCCGGGUGCACACAGAGGGCCAGUUGGAAGCGGCUGAGAGUUAUGCCCUGGACAGACGUGGUCUCAAUGAGGAAAUACCGCAGCUCCCUUGUUCUUCAUCGGCGACGAUUUGGAGGAACCUUCUGCACUGUCUCCCGGAGGUCCUCAGUGGGAUUAAGCCCCAGUGGCCCAUAGCAGUGACCUGCUCCUGAAGCACCCUGCUGGCUCCCUUCCCUGCCCUGACUCCCUUCCUGUCUCCCCAAGUGUUUCCUGGGAUCAUCUCCAAAAUCCAUGACUUGCACUUGAAUCGUUGUCUUAGAAAUUGCUUCUGGGGGAGACCAACAAAGACACCCCUCAUGCCUCAGACAGCAGUCGAUGUGACCAGCAGCUGAGGGUUCUGAUUUGGGGAAGGGAUUUACAAAAUUCUCAGACUUUCUUAUCAUCUGCUUGAAUGACAUCCUUAUCGGUCUAGAGCCUGACACAGACCAAGGCGUGUCUUUAAUGCGGGGUAAUCACCUCUCUCCUGUGUUUCUUGUGACUGAGCGUGCUAUUUAUUAGUUUUUCCUUUAUAUUCAGCCAUUGCUCUUGAAAUAAACUCACUGUAUCAG